UCGAGGAUCAUUUGCAAUGGGGGAAACCCUGACAAUGCGACGCUGCGUGCAGGAUGAAGGUCUUCGGAUUGUAAACUGCUGUCAUGAGGGAAAAGGACAGGGAGGCCAACAACCUCUCUCGUUUGAUUGUACUUCAAGAGGAAGUCGCGGCUAACUCUGUGCCAGCAGCCGCGGUAAUACAGAGGCGACGAGCGUUGUUCGGAUUUACUGGGCGUAAAGCGUGCGCAGGCGGUUGAUCAUGUCGGAUGUGAAAUCCCGGGGCUCACCCCCGGAAGUGCAUCUGAAACCGGUUGACUAGAGACUGGGAAGGGAGUUUGGAACACAUGGAGGAGCGGUGAAAUGCGUUGAUAUCAUGUGGAACACCGGUAGCGAA
rnacentral:rRNA from 1 species